CAUUGUUUUUCUUGGCUUAUGGUAUGUUGGUCUUGUUUCUCGUGUUGCUGGAAAGAGACCAGAGAUCUUGACCAUUCUCCAAAACUGUGCAGUUCUCAGCAUAGCCUGCUGUGUANNNNNNNNNCACUGUGGUAACCGUGCUAUCUUGAGAGAUAGACCGUUAGCAAGAAGAAAUUCUGGUUGGUUUUCCUUAUGGAAGAAAGAGGAGAGAAACACAUGGCUGG
rnacentral:misc_RNA from 1 species